rnacentral:lncRNA from 12 species
CCGGUGGGGUGAAGGGGGUGGGGCCUGGGUGGGGCAGGGUCGAAGGGGGCGGGGCCACACUGCUGUCAGUCACCGCUGUCAGUCACCGCUGUCACUUCUGUCCCCACUGUCCCCACUGUCACCGCACACCCGAGCACUCCUGGCAGGUUUCACCCCCCGAGCGUGUCAGGGACAGGCACAGGCGUGUGACACAAAGGCUGGUGGCACUGUCUGCACACUGUCCCUGCCCUGUUCCCCAGCUGCUGAGGGGGCAGGAGCUCCGAACCCUCCACUCAUGAAACAAGGGGCUACUGGGACACUCCUGGGAGCCAGGGGCUGGUGUGACACAGGGGGGCCUCAGAGAACCCAGGAGACCAGAGUGAGGUUAUGGGACCUCUUCUAACCAGGUGUCACCAUGAGUCAGCUGGGCCUCAUGGAACCCAGGUGCCACCGGGAGCUUGCAGAGCUCGUGGAACCCCGGCUCCAGCUAGGUGUGACACAGCUGGGCCUCACGGAACUCAGGAGAGCUUUGUGACACAGUGGAACCUUAUGGAACCACAAAUGUCAUCACAUGUGUCCCUGGGGGCACAGAAGGAACCCAGGAGACCAGAGUGAGGGUAUGGAACCUCAUGGAACCCAGGGUCCAGUGUGACACAGAGGGGUCUCAUGGAGCCCAGGAGAGCACUGUGAGGCUCUGGACCAACAUGGCACCAAGGUUCCACUGGGACCUGACAGAACCACCUGCAAGCAAGGGACCAUUUCCCCCUGUGCUGGGCACUGGUGAGGCCACACCUCAAGUGCUGUGUCCAGCUCUGGGCCCCUCUGUUUAGGAAGGACAUUGAGAUGCUCAGAUACAUCCAGAGAAGGGCAGCAAGGCAACAAGUCCUGCGAGGAGCGGCUGAGGGAGCCGGGGAUGUUUAUCCUGGAGAAGAGGAGGCUCAGGGAGACCUCAUCACUCUUUACAACUCCCUGACAGGAGGGUGCAGCCAGCCAACACCCAAGAAGAAGAUAAAAGCUGCUGCAGCAACAUCAGCUUCCCGGGACCCUGACAAGAGCAGCUCCUACUUCUGUUUGGGACUUUAUACCAAAACUUAGCGUGGACUUUGAUGUCUGUGACUGUGCCUUCUGAGACUAAUGUGCUUCUGCAAUAAAUAACCUUUUAACAGCUAU